AGCGAACGCUGGCGGCAGGCCUAACACAUGCAAGUCGAACGGCCACCUUCGGAUGUCAUUGGCAGACGGGUGGGGAACACGGGGCAACGUACCCUUCGAUUCGGAAUAACUCAGGGAAACUUGAGCUAAUACCGGAUACGCCCUUUUGAGGGGAGGCUUACUGCCGAAGGAAGGGCGCGCGUUUGAUUCGUUUGUUGGUGGGGUGACGCGCUACCAAGGUGGCGAUUGGUAGCUGGUCUGAGAGAAUGAUCAGACACUCUGGGACUGAGACGCGGCCGGGACUCCUGCAGGAUGCAGGAGUGGGGAAUAUUGGAAAACGGGCGCAGGGCUGAUGCCGCCAGGCCGGGUGAGUGAUGAAGGCCUUAGGGAAGUAAAGCUCUUUUGUCCGGGGCGGUAAUGACGGUACCGGAAGAAUAAGCCCCGGCUAACUUCGUG
rnacentral:rRNA from 1 species